CUUUGCGGGGCUGCCCUUUCCCCAUGACAAGUCGAACGGCAGCACGGGUGCUUGCACCUGGUGGCGAGUGGCGAACGGGUGAGUAAUACAUCGGAACAUGUCCUGUAGUGGGGGAUAGCCCGGCGAAAGCCGGAUUAAUACCGCAUACGAUCUACGGAUGAAAGCGGGGGACCUUCGGGCCUCGCGCUAUAGGGUUGGCCGAUGGCUGAUUAGCUAGUUGGUGGGGUAAAGGCCUACCAAGGCGACGAUCAGUAGCUGGUCUGAGAGGACGACCAGCCACACUGGGACUGAGACACGGCCCAGACUCCUACGGGAGGCAGCAGUGGGGAAUUUUGGACAAUGGGCGAAAGCCUGAUCCAGCAAUGCCGCGUGUGUGAAGAAGGCCUUCGGGUUGUAAAGCACUUUUGUCCGGAAAGAAAUCCUUGGCUCUAAUAAAGUCGGGGGAUGACGGUACCGGAAGAAUAAGCACCGGCUAACUACGUGCCAGCAGCCGCGGUAAUACGUAGGGUGCAAGCGUUAAUCGGAAUUACUGGGCGUAAAGCGUGCGCAGGCGGUUUGCUAAGACCGAUGUGAAAUCCCCGGGCUCAACCUGGGAACUGCAUUGGUGACUGGCAGGCUAGAGUAUGGCAGAGGGGGGUAGAAUUCCACGUGUAGCAGUGAAAUGCGUAGAGAUGUGGAGGAAUACCGAUGGCGAAGGCAGCCCCCUGGGCCAAUACUGACGCUCAUGCACGAAAGCGUGGGGAGCAAACAGGAUUAGAUACCCUGGUAGUCCACGCCCUAAACGAUGUCAACUAGUUGUUGGGGAUUCAUUUCCCUUAGUAACGUAGCUAACGCGUGAAGUUGACCGCCUGGGGAGUACGGUCGCAGGAUUAAACUCAAAGGAUUGACGGGGACCCGCACAGCGGUGGAUGAAUGUGAAUAUCGAUGGCAACGCGAAAAAUCCUUUAACCCGUC
rnacentral:rRNA from 1 species